UGCAAGUCGAGCGAACGGACGAGAAGCUUGCUUCUCUGAUGUUAGCGGCGGACGGGUGAGUAACACGUGGAUAACCUACCUAUAAGACUGGGAUAACUUCGGGAAACCGGAGCUAAUACCGGAUAAUAUUUUGAACCGCAUGGUUCAAAAGUGAAAGACGGUCUUGCUGUCACUUAUAGAUGGAUCCGCGCUGCAUUAGCUAGUUGGUAAGGUAACGGCUUACCAAGGCAACGAUGCAUAGCCGACCUGAGAGGGUGAUCGGCCACACUGGAACUGAGACACGGUCCAGACUCCUACGGGAGGCAGCAGUAGGGAAUCUUCCGCAAUGGGCGAAAGCCUGACGGAGCAACGCCGCGUGAGUGAUGAAGGUCUUCGGAUCGUAAAACUCUGUUAUUAGGGAAGAACAUAUGUGUAAGUAACUGUGCACAUCUUGACGGUACCUAAUCAGAAAGCCACGGCUAACUACGUGCCAGCAGCCGCGGUAAUACGUAGGUGGCAAGCGUUAUCCGGAAUUAUUGGGCGUAAAGCGCGCGUAGGCGGUUUUUUAAGUCUGAUGUGAAAGCCCACGGCUCAACCGUGGAGGGUCAUUGGAAACUGGAAAACUUGAGUGCAGAAGAGGAAAGUGGAAUUCCAUGUGUAGCGGUGAAAUGCGCAGAGAUAUGGAGGAACACCAGUGGCGAAAGCGACUUUCUGGUCUGUAACUGACGCUGAUGUGCGAAAGCGUGGGGAUCAAACAGGAUUAGAUACCCUGGUAGUCCACGCCGUAAACGAUGAGUGCUAAGUGUUAGGGGGUUUCCGCCCCUUAGUGCUGCAGCUAACGCAUUAAGCACUCCGCCUGGGGAGUACGACCGCAAGGUUGAAACUCAAAGGAAUUGACGGGGACCCGCACAAGCGGUGGAGCAUGUGGUUUAAUUCGAAGCAACGCGAAGAACCUUACCAAAUCUUGACAUCCUUUGACAACUCUAGAGAUAGAGCUUUCCCCUUCGGGGGACAAAGUGACAGGUGGUGCAUGGUUGUCGUCAGCUCGUGUCGUGAGAUGUUGGGUUAAGUCCCGCAACGAGCGCAACCCUUAAGCUUAGUUGCCAUCAUUAAGUUGGGCACUCUAAGUUGACUGCCGGUGACAAACCGGAGGAAGGUGGGGAUGACGUCAAAUCAUCAUGCCCCUUAUGAUUUGGGCUACACACGUGCUACAAUGGACAAUACAAAGGGCAGCGAAACCGCGAGGUCAAGCAAAUCCCAUAAAGUUGUUCUCAGUUCGGAUUGUAGUCUGCAACUCGACUACAUGAAGCUGGAAUCGCUAGUAAUCGUAGAUCAGCAUGCUACGGUGAAUACGUUCCCGGGUCUUGUACACACCGCCCGUCACACCAGGAGAGUUUGUAACACCCGAAGCCGGUGGAGUAACCUUUUAGGAGCUAGCC
rnacentral:rRNA from 1 species